rnacentral:tRNA from 1 species
AAGGCUUUAGCUUAAUUAAAGUGUCUGUCUUGCAUGCAGAAGAUGUGGGUUAGUGUCCUGCAAGUCUUA